UAGAACCCUGACGGUGAUGGCUGGUCUAG
rnacentral:piRNA from 1 species